CGCCUUGCGGGGUGCUAAUACAUGCAGUCGAGCGGACAGAUGGGAGCUUGCUCCCUGAUGUUAGCGGCGGACGGGUGAGUAACACGUGGGUAACCUGCCUGUAAGACUGGGAUAACUCCGGGAAACCGGGGCUAAUACCGGAUGGUUGUUUGAACCGCAUGGUUCAAACAUAAAAGGUGGCUUCGGCUACCACUUACAGAUGGACCCGCGGCGCAUUAGCUAGUUGGUGAGGUAACGGCUCACCAAGGCAACGAUGCGUAGCCGACCUGAGAGGGUGAUCGGCCACACUGGGACUGAGACACGGCCCAGACUCCUACGGGAGGCAGCAGUAGGGAAUCUUCCGCAAUGGACGAAAGUCUGACGGAGCAACGCCGCGUGAGUGAUGAAGGUUUUCGGAUCGUAAAGCUCUGUUGUUAGGGAAGAACAAGUACCGUUCGAAUAGGGCGGUACCUUGACGGUACCUAACCAGAAAGCCACGGCUAACUACGUGCCAGCAGCCGCGGUAAUACGUAGGUGGCAAGCGUUGUCCGGAAUUAUUGGGCGUAAAGGGCUCGCAGGCGGUUUCUUAAGUCUGAUGUGAAAGCCCCCGGCUCAACCGGGGAGGGUCAUUGGAAACUGGGGAACUUGAGUGCAGAAGAGGAGAGUGGAAUUCCACGUGUAGCGGUGAAAUGCGUAGAGAUGUGGAGGAACACCAGUGGCGAAGGCGACUCUCUGGUCUGUAACUGACGCUGAGGAGCGAAAGCGUGGGGAGCGAACAGGAUUAGAUACCCUGGUAGUCCACGCCGUAAACGAUGAGUGCUAAGUGUUAGGGGGUUUCCGCCCCUUAGUGCUGCAGCUAACGCAUUAAGCACUCCGCCUGGGGAGUACGGUCGCAAGACUGAAACUCAAAGGAAUUGACGGGGGCCCGCACAAGCGGUGGAGCAUGUGGUUUAAUUCGAAGCAACGCGAAGAACCUUACCAGGGUCUUGACAUCCUCUGACAAUCCUAGAGAUAGGACGUCCCCUUCGGGGGCAGAGUGACAGGUGGUGCAUGGUUGUCGUCAGCUCGUGUCGUGAGAUGUUGGGUUUAAGUCCCGCAACGAGCGGCAACCCUUUGAUCUUAGUUUGCAGCAUUCAGUUGGCACUCUAAGGUGACUGCCGUUGACAUCGGAGAAGGUGGGAUGACGUCAAUCAUCAUGCCCUUAUGACCUGGCUACACCUGCUUACAUUGACGACCAACGGGCAGCGAACCCGCGCGAAGGUUUUAAGUCA
rnacentral:rRNA from 1 species